GCCUGGGUGGCUCAGUCGGUUGAGCGUCCGACUUUGGCUCAGGUCACGAUCUCGCAAUGUGUGGGUUCGAGCCCCGCGUCGGGCU
rnacentral:tRNA from 1 species